AUCCUGGCUCAGGAUGAACGCUGGCGGCGUGCCUAAUACAUGCAAGUCGAACGAGUUCUCGUUGAUGAUCGGUGCUUGCACCGAGAUUCAACAUGGAACGAGUGGCGGACGGGUGAGUAACACGUGGGUAACCUGCCCUUAAGUGGGGGAUAACAUUUGGAAACAGAUGCUAAUACCGCAUAGAUCCAAGAACCGCAUGGUUCUUGGCUGAAAGAUGGCGUAAGCUAUCGCUUUUGGAUGGACCCGCGGCGUAUUAGCUAGUUGGUGAGGUAAUGGCUCACCAAGGCGAUGAUACGUAGCCGAACUGAGAGGUUGAUCGGCCACAUUGGGACUGAGACACGGCCCAAACUCCUACGGGAGGCAGCAGUAGGGAAUCUUCCACAAUGGACGCAAGUCUGAUGGAGCAACGCCGCGUGAGUGAAGAAGGCUUUCGGGUCGUAAAACUCUGUUGUUGGAGAAGAAUGGUCGGCAGAGUAACUGUUGUCGGCGUGACGGUAUCCAACCAGAAAGCCACGGCUAACUACGUGCCAGCAGCCGC
rnacentral:rRNA from 2 species